GGGCACGGUGGUGCAUGCCUAUAGUCUCAGCUACCCAGGAAACUGAGACAGGAGGAUUGCUUGAGUCCAGGAGUUCUGGGCUGCAGUGUGCUAUGCUGAUUGGGUGUCUAUAUUAAAGUCGUCAUCAAUAUGAUGAUCUUCUGAGAGCAGAGGACCACCAGGUUGCCUAAGGAGGGGUGAACCGGCCCAGGUUGGAAAAAAAAAACAAAAAAAGACAAGCUGUUGAGAUGGCUCAGUGGAUAAAGGCACAUUUUUCUUUAUUGUAAAGUCUGGGGACAUAAAUUCCAUCCUU
rnacentral:SRP_RNA from 1 species